UUGAGGACUGGGAUGAAAGGUUUUAUAUUUAAGACAUUCUGUUUUUUAACACCUUGAAUUUUUAGUGAGGGUAAAAAUACUCUUAUAUUUAAAAGAGACGAUAAGACCCUAAAAUCUUUAUUCUUUAUAGGUAUAUAGUUACUUUUAGGUGGAAUUUAUUUGGGGUAAAUAUUUUUAAAUUAUAAAAUAUUAUUUUACUUUUGUGUGUUAGAAUCUUAAAUUAGGUUAUUGGUGUAAGUUACUUUAGGGAUAACAGCGUAAUUUUUUAUUGGAGGGGAUAUUUGUUAGAUUUUUACGACCUCGAUGUUGAAUUAAGAAUUCUUUCUGUAGCAGUAUGCAGGGGAGAGGGUUUGUUCAACCUUUUAUUUUUUACAUGAUCUGAGUUCAAACCGG
rnacentral:rRNA from 1 species